GACGAACGCUGGCGGCGUGCCUAAUACAUGCAAGUCGAGCGGACUGAUUAAGAGCUUGCUCUUAUGACGUUAGCGGCGGACGGGUGAGUAACACGUGGGCAACCUGCCCUGUAGAUCGGGAUAACACCGAGAAAUCGGUGCUAAUACCGGGUAAUAUCUGAGAUCACAUGAUCUUAGGUUAAAAGAUGGCUCCGGCUAUCACUACAGGAUGGGCCCGCGGCGCAUUAGCUAGUUGGUAAGGUAAUGGCUUACCAAGGCGACGAUGCGUAGCCGACCUGAGAGGGUGAUCGGCCACCCUGGGACUGAGACACGGCCCAGACUCCUACGGGAGGCAGCAGUAGGGAAUCUUCCGCAAUGGACGAAAGUCUGACGGAGCAACGCCGCGUGAGUGAUGAAGGGUUUCGGCUCGUAAAGCUCUGUUGUUAGGGAAGAAACAGUACCGAACGAACUAGGUCGGUACCUUGACGGUACCUAACCAGAAAGCCACGGCUAACUACGUG
rnacentral:rRNA from 1 species